rnacentral:rRNA from 1 species
CCUACGGGAGGCAGCAGUGGGGAAUCUUGCGCAAUGGGCGAAAGCCUGACGCAGCAACGCCGCGUGCGGGAAGAAGGCUUUCGGGCUGUAAACCGCUUUCAGCAGGAACGAAAAUGACGGUACCUGCAGAAGAAGGAGCGGCCAACUAUGUGCCAGCAGCCGCGGUGAUACAUAGGCUUCAAGCGUUGUCCGGAUUUAUUGGGCGUAAAGAGUUCGUAGGCGGUCGAGUAAGUCGGGUGUGAAAAUUCUGGGCUCAACCCAGAGACGCCACCCGAUACUGCUUGACUUGAGUUCGAUAGGGGAGUGGGGAAUUCCUAGUGUAGCGGUGAAAUGCGCAGAUAUUAGGAGGAACACCGGUGGCGAAGGCGCCACUCUGGAUCGAUACUGACGCUGAGGAACGAAAGCAUGGGUAGCAAACAGGAUUAGAUACCCUGGUAGUCCAUGCCGUAAACGGUGGGCACUAGGUGUGGGUUUCUAUUAACGAAAUCCGCGCCGUCGCUAACGCAUUAAGUGCCCCGCCUGGGGAGUACGGUCGCAAGCUAAAACUCAAAUGAAUUGACGGCUGAGAGNGCGACGACGACGACGAGGAGGAG